rnacentral:rRNA from 1 species
GAUGAACGCUGGCGGCGUGCUUAACACAUGCAAGUCGAACGGUGAAGGCGGAGCUUGCUCUGCUGGAUCAGUGGCGAACGGGUGAGUAACACGUGAGCAAUCUGCCCCUGACUCUGGGAUAAGCGCUGGAAGCGGCGUCUAAUACUGGAUACGAGCUGCGAAGGCAUCUUCAGCAGCUGGAAAGAAUUUCGGUCAGGGAUGAGCUCGCGGCCUAUCAGCUUGUUGGUGAGGUAAUGGCUCACCAAGGCGUCGACGGGUAGCCGGCCUGAGAGGGUGACCGGCCACACUGGGACUGAGACACGGUCCAGACUCCUACGGGAGGCAGCAGUGGGGAAUAUUGCACAAUGGGCGAAAGCCUGAUGCAGCAACGCCGCGUGAGGGACGACGGCCUUCGGGUUGUAAACCUCUUUUAGCAGGGAAGAAGCGAAAGUGACGGUACCUGCAGAAAAAGCGCCGGCUAACUACGUG